rnacentral:rRNA from 1 species
CCUACGGGAGGCUGCAGUCGAGAAUCUUCCACAAUGGACGAAAGUCUGAUGGAGCGACGCCGCGUGAUCGAUGAAGUGCUUCGGUAUGUAAAGAUCUUUUAUGAGGGAAGCGGUACCUCAUGAAUAAGGGCCUGCAAAACUCGUGCCAGCAGCAGCGGUAAUACGAGUGGCUCAAGCGUUAUCCGGAAUUAUUGGGCGUAAAGGAUGUGUAGGUGGUUAUGUUAGUUAAGUGUCCAACCUCUGGGCUCAACCUGGAGAUCGCACUUAAAACGGCAUGACUAGAGUAUGUUAGGGGUAAGCGGAACUAAUAGUGUAGGGGUGAAAUCCGUUGAUAUUAUUGGGAACACCAAAAGCGAAGGCAGCUUACUGGGACAUACUGACACUGAAACAUGAAAGCGUGGGUAGCGAAUGGGAUUAGAUACCCUUGUAGUC